UCCAGACAAUGCGCUCCUUGCACCCAACCAAUGGAUCGAAAAUCCGAGAGAUGGAAAUCAAUUUUGGCUCUUCAACCAAACCACAGACAAUCACCUUUGAACUGAAAGAGGCCAAAGAAGUCUGCCAUAUAAUCGCAAUGAUACUUGAUGAGCUUUUAAUGCACAGUGACUCAUGAUCACACAUGAUGCAAAAUCCAACCAACUGGAAACUCUAUUAUAGCUGCUAAAUGAAUUAUCACUUUCGUCAAAACACAACCAAUGCCUAUCAGGAGCAGGAGAAGGCACUCCUCGUCUUGCGUGAAAAUCAAUAUGGGUACUGAGCUGCAACCGGUGGCUGUGACUUACCUUCAAUUGUAAAGUAAAGAGAAAAUAGAAAAAAGGAACAACCACCACAAUGUCACUCAAUCUGGGUUGUUGUGUUUGUAUCUUGGUUGGCUUUAGGUAGCAGACAGGCCAUGGAGUGAAAUCCGAAACACACAGCUAUCAUUGCGUGGACGAUUUACAACAGUCUACGUUUAUAACCCCAACCCUAAAUGUAAUAAACCAUUUUAGAGUACUUCUCAA